rnacentral:rRNA from 1 species
AGAGUUUGAUCCUGGCUCAGAUUGAACGCUGGGGAGAACAACGGCCAGUCGAACGGCAGCACAGUAGAGCUUGACCAAGGGGUGGCGAGUGGCGGACGGGUGAGUAAUGCAUCGGGAUCUACCCAAACGUGGGGGAUAACGUAGGGAAACUUACGCUAAUACCGCAUACGUCCUAAGGGAGAAAGCGGGGGACCGAAAGGCCUCGCGCGGUUGGACGAACCGAUGUGCGAUUAGCUAGUUGGUGAGGUAAUGGCCCACCAAGGCAAUGAUCGGUAGCCGGCCUGAGAGGGCGCACGGCCACACUGGAACUGAAACACGGUCCAGACUCCUACGGGAGGCAGCAGUGGGGAAUUUUGCGCAAUGGGGGAAACCCUGACGCAGCAACGCCGCGUGGAGGAUGAAGCCCCUUGGGGUGUAAACUCCUUUCGAUCGGGACGAUUAUGACGGUACCGGAUGAAGAAGCACCGGCUAACUCUGUGCCAGCAGCCGCGGUAAUACAGAGGGUGCAAGCGUUGUUCGGAAUUAUUGGGCGUAAAGGGUGCGUAGGCGGUGCGGUAAGUCUCUUUGUGAAAUCUCCGGGCUCAACUCGGAGCCUGCAAAGGGAAACUGCCCGUGCUUGAGUAUGGGAGAGGUGAGUUGGAA